CAUGGCUCUGAGAAGACAAGUAACCUCCUUGAAUCACCCUGAUACGUUGGACAGGACAUCAAUCAGCCUACUUGUGAUGAUAUGUGAAUGUCCGGUGUGUGGGAACGUGGCCAAGCCUCCCAUGAAGAUGUGUUUCAACGGACACGUCAGUUGUGUGGCUUGUGUACUAGAUACCCCAUCUUGCUCUACUUGUCAGGAGCGUUUCUCCUGUAUCCGACCAAUGGUGAUGGAGCAGAUUAUGAGAGUGGUGGGGGG